UCACUAGUAGAUGGACCUGCGUUGUAUUAGCUAGUUGGUGGGGUAACGGCCUACCAAGGCGACGAUACAUAGCCGACCUGAGAGGGUGAUCGGCCACACUGGGACUGAGACACGGCCCAGACUCCUACGGGAGGCAGCAGUAGGGAAUCUUCGGCAAUGGGGGCAACCCUGACCGAGCAACGCCGCGUGAGUGAAGAAGGUUUUCGGAUCGUAAAGCUCUGUUGUAAGAGAAGAACGUGUGUGAGAGUGGAAAGUUCACACAGUGACGGUAACUUACCAGAAAGGGACGGCUAACUACGUGCCAGCAGCCGCGGUAAUACGUAGGUCCCGAGCGUUGUCCGGAUUUAUUGGGCGUAAAGCGAGCGCAGGCGGUUUAAUAAGUCUGAAGUUAAAGGCAGUGGCUUAACCAUUGUUCGCUUUGGAAACUGUUAAACUUGAGUGCAGAAGGGGAGAGUGGAAUUCCAUGUGUAGCGGUGAAAUGCGUAGAUAU
rnacentral:rRNA from 1 species